rnacentral:siRNA from 1 species
CUGAAUCUCAGUGGAUCGUGG